rnacentral:rRNA from 1 species
CCUACGGGGUGCAGCAGUGAGGAAUAUUGGUCAAUGGACGCAAGACUGAACCAGCCAAGCCGCGUGCAGGAAGACGGUUCUGUGUGUUGUAAACUUCUUUUGUACGGGAAUAAAGGCGGGUACGUGUAUCUGGCUGAGUGUAUCUUACGAAAAAGCAUCGGCUAACUCCGUGCCAGCAGCCGCGGUAAUACGGAGGAUUCGAGCGUUAUCCGGAUUUAUUGGGUUUAAAGGGUGCGUAGGCGGUCUGUUAAGUUAGAGGUGAAAUCCCGGGGCUCAACUCCGGAAUUGCCGUUGAUACUGGCAGGCUAGAGUGUGGUAGAGGUAUGCGGAAUGUGUGGUGUAGCGGUGAAAUGCUUAGAGAUCACGCAGAACACCGAUUGCGAAGGCAGCAGACCAGGUCACCACUGACGCUGAGGCACGAAAGCGUGGGGAGCAAACAGGAUUAGAUACCCUAGUAGUC